CUCACCGUCUUUAAACAAAGCCGGAACAUAUUGGAUAAUGAAUGUAGCCCUAGACAACCUCACAGAAAGAACAGAUGGUCACGACUGGAACGCGUCUGACCAUAGUCAUGAUGCUUUCAAUAAAAGAAACAGGGUUAGAAACUAGUAGAACAGAAGCUGUGACGAUGACGAUGCUGAUGAUGAUGAGGGUAGUGGUUGAUCUGUGAUGAUGACAGCGGAGGUGGUGGGGACAGAGAGGCAGAGGAGCAGUGACGGUAGAGGUGGUGACAGUCGGCAGAGUUGUACAGUUGUGUGUAAAACCCAUUUCAAACAUAUACAUAUGUAUGAAUGCUAAUGUUAUAAAUAGCAUAUGAACACACACACCUACAUAUAUACACGCACUCGCAGUGUGUGUGUGUCAUAUGUCAGACACUCGGAAAUACAGACGCAUUAGUAAAACAAGUAUUUUACACACAUAUAUACAGACGGAUACAUUGAAAACACGUACAUUUAUACGCAGUCAGUUUGGCCGUCAUCGUUAUUAAAGAGAACAUCAAGAGGAGACAUAUAUACAUUACCAGAGUUUACCAGAACACGAGGAACCAUUUCCGUUUACUAAAUACACACAGUAGAAGACACUUGCCUAAGGUACCACGCAGUGGGACUGAACCUGGGACCAUGUGAUUCGGUUAUGUCCAAUCCAGCUAAUACGCCAUUUGUUUCACAAAAUCCACCACCUCCACCAUACUCGACACAACCAAGGCCUGGGCAGAAAACCUUGGAAACAUUCCCUUAUCCUCCCCCAGCUGGAGCGCACGCCACAGCACCACCCUACUCAAGUUACCAGACACCAGGACAGUACCCACCAAUGGCACAGCAAAUGCCACCAGGCUAUUAUGCUGGAGGUCCCUAUCCACCGGGACAGCCAGCACCUUAUCCUCCAAUGCAGCCAGGCUAUGGACCCCCACCCCAACCAGUUUACUAUGGACAACCUCAGCCAUACGGUCAACCUCAGCCAUACGGUCAACCUACAUACAUUGUGGAGGAAAGGCGCCGAAAUGACACGGAAUCCUGUUGUUUGCUUGCCUUGUGUGCCGCUUGUCUUGCCUGUUGUUGCUUGGAUGCCUUAGACUGACCCUACUUACUGUACCAUAAUGAUAAUAGUAAUUAUAAUGUCGACAUGGUGAUGAUACUAAUAACAAUGUUGGACUCUUCUUCAGCCUUAUGUAAAAAAAAAAAAAAAAAAAACUGACCCCCACAAAAACAUUGACCACCAACUCUAAAUCUCUUAACACAAAAAUGUUUUUAAAAAAUUUUUUAAAUUCUAUAAUAAAAUAUAAAUAGAAACCUUAAGUGCCUGCGGACAAUGUGCCCCGGUUGAUAGGUUUUUGCUUCUUCUGUUUCCAAUGACCAAUGUUUGAUGUUGACCGAUUUCCAGUGAUUCCAAUGGAGUGAGAAAGCCUUUUUUUUUGUUGUUUUUUUUGGGGGGAUUGUGUUGCUACUGCUGUUGUUGGUGCCAGUGGUGGUGGUGGUGGUGGUCAGUAGUGGACUCUGUGGUUGUUUGGUUGUUUCAAUGUCGGUGUUGUGUCAUUGUUAUCAGAUUAACAUUGCGCAAGCGCAUACGCAAAUAUACACAUACGCAGGAAUCUUCAUUGGCACCGCUUCAAUCUGUCACAAAGUACAAAUAAAUAAAUACAUACAUACAUAUAUAUGUGUGUGUGUGUGUGUGUGUGUAUAUAUAUAUAUAUAUAUAUA